rnacentral:lncRNA from 1 species
GACGUCAGGGCCGCGGCCGAGCCGGCCAAACUCAAGUUGGUUCAGGGAAUUGUCAACAAAGGGACGAGAGACGCGCAACUCCGCUCCGCACUGUGCGCCAGCAUCCCCGGGGCACGGAGGGCGCUGCGGCCCGCCCGGAGACCCCCCCACCCAGGCUGGAUCCGGGCCCUGGGGCCCAGGGAGCGGCUUUAAAGAGUAAGAGCAGCGCACCCGGCUCCCUCCUGCUAAUUAGAUUUCAGAUUCCCCUCUGGCCUCAGUGCUCAUUCCGGGGAAGACACCUGCUGAGAUGUCUUUUUCCCCCUCCCCCAACCAAACCACUCAGGUCCUACCUGCUCUUUCCCGGCUUGAUGCGGGCGUGUUUUCCUGUAUGUAUUUUUUCGUGCGGCCACAAAAAGCAUCAGCUGGGGUUCCCGAAGGUCAGAAAAUGGCUAUUGAUUAAUCUACUAGAAUAGUUGCCGAGAGAAAUAAAAACGACGUAAAAUAGCAGGGAACCUAUAAAUAAAGAAGCCAUAACUGGCUACUUGGAGUUGUUAAACGACUUAGCAUAUGAAAAAAUCGGAAAUGAGGCGCUGGGGAAGGAGCUGGGAUUGGCAGCGGCCUGGGUGUGGACAAAUCCUCCAAGAUUUAACUUCCAAGAAAACCGGCGGCGGAGCGGGUGGAGGAGGCGAGGAUGUGUGGCCAAUGCACGCGGAGUGCAAGGCCGCCUAGUUGGGAGCCGCAAGAGCCUGCCUGGUGUGGCAGGCACACGGAACCCAAUCCCUGUCUGUCCGCUGCGGCCUGGGAGGGGAGCGCCGGCCUCACCAGAGGAAGGAGCACGAGGGGAGGAGUUCCGAGAGGAAAUAAUUAGUGAAAUAUUUGCAGAAGAUGCUGGGAUGUGGAUUUAAUUCCGGAUGGACAGUGGUGCUUCUGAUUCCCUCAGUCUGUUUCCCCACCCACGAUCUCCUCUUUCCUUGGCCUAGACACACCAAAAAUAAUUCAAUAAAAUAAAAAUAAAAAUUUAAAAAUC